AUAACUUACUAGCAAACAUGAAGAACAUGGAUUGGUAUUCUUGGUUAUCCAAGAGUAGCCUUGAUCAAGAACUUAUCUAUGAGUAUGGUCUUGUUUUUAGUAGAAAUGAGCUUCAAAAGGAGGACUUGAUUUACUUCAAUCAUGAGUUCCUUCAAAGUAUGGGGAUAAUUGUAGCCAAACAUAGGCUAGAGAUUCUAAAAUUGGCUCGAAAGGAAGGCGGAGGCGGAAUCGGAGGAGGAGGAACAAGUUCAUCAUCAAAUGGUCUUUCAAGACUUGUUUUGGCAAUCAACAAAACCAAGAAGCUACUUGCCAAGAACUUGAGCAAGCUCAGUAUCCACAGAGUUUCGACUCGUCUAGCUCUCUCCGAGCUCAAACCUUAUCGAACACAAUGGACCGGAGCACUAAGGAAGCUCGAGAGCUCGAAGGAAGAGAAAGCCAUAGUCACAACAAGAAGCAUGAUAAUGAACUCAGGACCACUAGACAGAAGAAUGCAAGACAAAUUUAUGGCCACCAACAGAAAUCUGAGUGCCUCAGGUCCUCUAGAUGGGAGAGUACUUCAAGAAAAGUUGAUGUACCCUAAUAGAAGUCCAAUGAAGUCUGGUCCAUUGGACAGAAGAUACAAAGACAGUGCUGUUUAUCCAAGCAGAAUCAAUAAAUCUGGACCAUUGGAUGCAAUGGGAUAUAAUAGCCCAAGAGUUAAUCACUAUAAUCAAGAAAUGAUGCCUGAUGAUGGAGUUAUCUACUCACAAUGGUCUUUAAUGUUUCAAGAUAUGAAGCCCACUUGACAACUCAUAUGAAGCUUUCAUCUUGUAAGACUUGCUGCAAAUUAAAGUAUCCUAGGUUAGUAUGUUUGUGUGUGUUUUACAACUGUGGUGUCGGUCCGGGGCCAGCUUUUUGCACACCUCGACUAAUUCCACGAGAUACCUACCACCUCCACAAUCACCUAGUUUAGUAAAGAGUGCAUUUUAAAGGUAUAUGGCACACAAGCAUGGGGUUUGCUGUCUCAACA
rnacentral:misc_RNA from 1 species